GCGCGCGCACCUCCCUGGAGUUCCGCGGUCCCGCUCCUCCUGCGCUGCUGCUCAGGCCAGGCUCGCGGGGUCCGUGGUGGCGUCCUCACCGUCGGCACCCGGAGCUGAAUUCUGCUCGCGGAGCGCCAACAGGGCCCUCGGGGACGGUGGCGGCAGCCGGGGCUUUUUCCGCACGGUCAUCGAUCAAGUCAUGAUUUCCAGAACCCGGUCGCGAAAGACCCUCCUGGAUCAGCAAAUCCCCGGUCUUGGGCCGCGCGUCCCGGCAGCCCGGAGCUGCGCGCCCCCGCGGGAGUUUCUCCGUGGCAGGCCGUGCUUCCAGUGCCUGGCCCUGCUCCGGAGGCCAGCAGUGCCGCCCCUGCCGCGACCCCGCACGGCCCUCGCAUUCUCUGGGCAGACCCACCGCCUGGCGAACAGCCCAUGGUUCGGACAGGAGAGGGAGGCACGGACUGGGCAGGAAGCAGAGGAACAUCGAGGGCACCACGCGUGACUGCGACACACUGGCCAUCCUGCCUACGUCACCAGGAUCGCAUCCUGAGGAAGGCUAGAGGCCAGCAGCCAUGCGGGCCAGCCAGGAGUUGGACCGAAUUUUGAUCUGGUGUUGACCAUUUCUUCCUUUUUAAAAAAUAACUUAUUGAUCUCCUUUUCUCCUUUCAAAAAUGAUGUUUAUUGUAAGAACUUUUAAAAUUACAGGUAAAAAAAAAAAAAGAAAAAUCACCAGUAAUUCUUCCAUCCCGAGACACCUGUUGUUAGUAUUUGCUCUUUAUCUUCCCUUUUUCUGUGCAAUAUAUUGAUGGGCUUUGUUUUAUUCGCAAAAAAAUAAUCAAGCCAUCCAUACA